CGACAGUAGUCCAUAAAAAAAUGGGUCAUUUGGCGUUCCGUAGGUUGCCGUCAAGGACUUAGUCAUUUGGACUCUCUUCUAGCAGUUAUUGGAGUUUGCAUUAGGGGAUAUGGAGCUGAAAGUAAGAUAGAAUGUAGCACCAGUAGGGUGAUCGAACUUAUACAAAAUGCCAGGAAGUUAUCAUCUCAAGUAUACCGAAAGUCAAACAAAUUUUCUGAUUUGGAAGCAAAAACUUCUGCCAAGACGUCUGUGUCUGUAAGUUGACCAGAUAAACAUUUUUGUGAUGUAGUCGGCAACUUAGAAGAAAAAAUUUCCUCUUUGUCUGAUGCAGUCGAAAAAUUUGUCCCUCAAAUUCCCGAAUAAGUUGUUCUUUAAUUGGAUGUUGAAUUGACGUUAUUUCAAAUUUACAACUCAGUUUUGUUUAAUUCUUUUGUACUUUGAUUUUUUUUAAAAUUUGUAACAAACUUUGUCUCGCGACUCAUUGUUGUCUCAAUAAAUUUCCAUCAUACAG